UACGUAGGGUGCAAGCGUUAAUCGGAAUUACUGGGCGUAAAGCGCGCGCAGGCGGUGAUGUAAGACAGAUGUGAAAUCCCCGGGCUCAACCUGGGAACUGCAUUUGUGACUGCAUCGCUGGAGUGCGGCAGAGGGGGAUGGAAUUCCGCGUGUAGCAGUGAAAUGCGUAGAUAUGCGGAGGAACACCGAUGGCGAAGGCAAUCCCCUGGGCCUGCACUGACGCUCAUGCACGAAAGCGUGGGGAGCAAACAGG
rnacentral:rRNA from 1 species